UUUGGGGCUGAGAGAAUUCCUAAGUUGAAUCUGAGAACUGUUACCUAAAAGCAUUGGACCAGAGAAGUUUUAGAGCUAAGUUUGGAGCCACGAGAAGGAAUUCUAAGGCACAGGAACGUCGGGGAACCGUUUGAAAGCAAGCUUAGGAGAAAACCAAGUCGGUGAUAUGCCGGUGGAGCAAGCCUUAGAUGGAGGAUCGACUGAAGAAUAGUUUUAAUAAGGAAACCUAUGUUUUUAUUUCUGUUUUAAGGUGUGGAGUGUAAUUAGUUUGAAUUAACAGUGAGGGUUUGUAUAAUAAUGAGGAAAACUCUUAUUCCUCCUUCUAUCAACUGUUCUAUUGUAUCAAUGAUGUAAGAACUCUAUUAUAGUUUGAUGCUAUAAUUAUUGGGAUGUUACAGAAGAAGGUAUAAGCGCGAUCUUGCUUGCGUUUGUGCCGCUAACUGUAGGUGUGAAUCUCGAUUCAGAGAAGACAUUCCAACGUUGCUCACGAUUCUAGGCGAAUUGACAUGGGAAUUGAAGAUCGCGACUUAGGGUUUUGAUUUUGGGCUUUUCCUGGAUCUUCUAUGUUGUCCUUGGUUACAGGUUUGAAUGGAGGCAACGCGUAGAGAUUAGAGGGACUCCGCAAAGACGAAGGCGCUGCGAUUCUGUGGUUUGUUUCUGGAUCUUCCUACGAGAAGAUGAACUCACGAGAGGAAGGUGAUGAGGCGCGAGGUGGUGGCGGCAUUAGGGCGCUUCUCCGUCACGGAUUGCAUGAGGUGGUGCUCCUAUGAAGAUGCUUCACGGUGGCGGCGACGACUUUGGCUAGUGCGAGGAUGAUUUCGACAUGUUUUAUUCAUUGGAUUGAAUUGGAAUAUAUACACUAUGGAUCUCAAUUGUUAGAAUUUGUGGCAUUAUAGUGUUACAUGGCUUCACAUUGCUUUCUUCGUUA